AGUUUGAUCCUGGCUCAGGAUGAACGCUAGCUACAGGCUUAACACAUGCAAGCCGAGGGGCAGCGGGAUUGAAGCUUGCUUCAAUUGCCGGCGACCGGCGCACGGGUGAGUAACGCGUAUCCAACCUUCCGUACACUCAGGGAUAGCCUUUCGAAAGAAAGAUUAAUACCUGAUGGUAUGAUGAGAUUGCAUGAUAGCAUCAUUAAAGAUUUAUCGGUGUACGAUGGGGAUGCGUUCCAUUAGGUAGUAGGCGGGGUAACGGCCCACCUAGCCAACGAUGGAUAGGGGUUCUGAGAGGAAGGUCCCCCACAUUGGAACUGAGACACGGUCCAAACUCCUACGGGAGGCAGCAGUGAGGAAUAUUGGUCAAUGGACGAGAGUCUGAACCAGCCAAGUAGCGUGAAGGAUGAAGGUCCUACGGAUUGUAAACUUCUUUUAUAAGGGAAUAAACCCUCCCACGUGUGGGAGCUUGUAUGUACCUUAUGAAUAAGCAUCGGCUAACUCCGUGCCAGCAGCCGCGGUAAUACGGAGGAUGCGAGCGUUAUCCGGAUUUAUUGGGUUUAAAGGGAGCGCAGACGGGUCGUUAAGUCAGCUGUGAAAGUUUGGGGCUCAACCUUAAAAUUGCAGUUGAUACUGGCGUCCUUGAGUGCGGUUGAGGUGUGCGGAAUUCGUGGUGUAGCGGUGAAAUGCUUAGAUAUCACGAAGAACUCCGAUUGCGAAGGCAGCACACUAAUCCGUAACUGACGUUCAUGCUCGAAAGUGUGGGUAUCAAACAGGAUUAGACACCCUGGUAGUCCACACGGUAAACGAUGGAUACUCGCUGUUGGCGAUAUACUGUCAGCGGCUUAGCGAAAGCGUUAAGUAUCCCACCUGGGGAGUACGCCGGCAACGGUGAAACUCAAAGGAAUUGACGGGGGCCCGCACAAGCGGAGGAACAUGUGGUUUAAUUCGAUGAUACGCGAGGAACCUUACCCGGGCUUAAAUUGCAAAGGAAUAAUCUGGAAACAGGUUAGUCUUCGGACCUUUGUGAAGGUGCUGCAUGGUUGUCGUCAGCUCGUGCCGUGAGGUGUCGGCUUAAGUGCCAUAACGAGCGCAACCCUCGCCGCCAGUUACUAACAGUUAAAGCUGAGGACUCUGGCGGGACUGCCAUCGUAAGAUGUGAGGAAGGUGGA
rnacentral:rRNA from 1 species